AUUGAACGCUGGCGGCAGGCUUAACACAUGCAAGUCGAGCGGAGAGAGGUAGCUUGCUACUGAUCUUAGCGGCGGACGGGUGAGUAAUGCUUAGGAAUCUGCCUAUUAGUGGGGGACAACAUUUCGAAAGGAAUGCUAAUACCGCAUACGUCCUACGGGAGAAAGCAGGGGAUCUUCGGACCUUGCGCUAAUAGAUGAGCCUAAGUCGGAUUAGCUAGUUGGUGGGGUAAAGGCCUACCAAGGCGACGAUCUGUAGCGGGUCUGAGAGGAUGAUCCGCCACACUGGGACUGAGACACGGCCCAGACUCCUACGGGAGGCAGCAGUGGGGAAUAUUGGACAAUGGGCGGAAGCCUGAUCCAGCCAUGCCGCGCGUGUGAAGAAGGCCUUAUGGUUGUAAAGCACUUUAAGCGAGGAGGAGGCUACUUUAGUUAAUACCUAGAGAUAGUGGACGUUACUCGCAGAAUAAGCACCGGCUAACUCUGUGCCAGCAGCCGCGGUAA
rnacentral:rRNA from 1 species